rnacentral:rRNA from 1 species
UACGUAGGGUGCAAGCGUUAAUCGGAAUUACUGGGCGUAAAGCGUGCGCAGGCGGCUUUGCAAGACAGAUGUGAAAUCCCCGGGCUUAACCUGGGAACUGCAUUUGUGACUGCAUGGCUAGAGUGCGGCAGAGGGGGAUGGAAUUCCGCGUGUAGCAGUGAAAUGCGUAGAUAUGGGGAGGAACACCGGUGGCGAAGGCGGCCAUCUGGACGGAUACUGACGCUGAGACGCGAAAGCGUGGGUAGCAAACAGG